CUAUCGAACCGUUUUAGAAACAUCAGUGGCCAACAGAUCGCCAGAUCGUUGAGCUGCAUUGGCGGGAUUUCGCCGUCUUCGUUUCUCUUUCUUCGCGGACGAACACGCGCUGGGGCUGCAAGUUUGCAGAAUCCCUGGUCCUUAACAGGAUAUGCGUUAGGGGCUUGUAGCUCAGUUGGUUAGAGCGCGCGCUUGAUAAGCGUGAGGUCGGAAGUUCAAGUCUUCCCAGGCCCACCACUUUCAUCGAGUGAGCAUUCGUCUUCUGGUUACGGGGCCAUAGCUCAGCUGGGAGAGCGCGUGCUUUGCAAGCAUGAGGUCGUCGGUUCGAUCCCGUCUGGCUCCACCAGAUGGUUUGAUCACCGAGAUCUUGUACCGUCGUCCGCGAAACAUCACUUCGCACUUACUAGUCUGGAUAGACAGUAAGCUGCGUGAUUUCUGACAUCGUAAAGAGGAGAUCGAUCCGAGUUGGAUCGUGCGGCAAGCAAUUGCCACGCGAGACUUCAUUAUCUCCGGAUCAUUUUCGGCGCUCGACGCUGACCGCAAGGUUGGCUGCGAGUUGUAAAAUGAUCCUUUUAGCGAAGCUUGACCGCCUCGCUAUCGGAACGAUCUUACGAAGCAAGCUGGUCUUUCUAGUCAAUGUCCGGCUGUACGUAGCAUUCAUCGAGGGUGCGCGCCGCAAGGCAAUCGUACAGACAACAUUCUGCCGAGUGUGUGGACAUUGAUAAUGAGAGCAAUCAAGUGCCUUAAGGGUGUUCGGUGGAUGCCUUGGCGCUGAGAGGCGAUGAAGGACGUGCUACGCUGCGAUAAGCC
rnacentral:misc_RNA from 1 species